GGUCUCUUUCUGGAGAUCCCUCCUUGGUGGAUUUUUCCCCUCUGAACCUGGAAUCUUCUGGUAUGGUGCACAAUGACCUUCAGUGCCAGCUCAGCUGCUGAACUGGAAAAGCCACUCAUAUGCUCAUCUUGCAAUGGGAUCCAAUGCCUUCUAAGGGAUUGAGCCACCCCACUGCCUUCAAUGCAGGUAGGGUGUCACAGAAAGAGCUCAGCACAAAUGUGACAGGGGCUUGAAUGUCCCUGAUGCUGUGAUGGGGGGUGGGACCCCAGUCAGCCCUGUCCUGGCAGUGUGACCCCUGGAGGAGGUAGAGAGGUUGUGGUGCAGCAUGGGAGAGCAAUGUGCACCUGCUGGAGGAGGAGAAGAAAAUGGGGAGCCCCAAACUGCUGGAGUGUUAAUGAACUCUGGUGCUUCUGGUGUCUCCUGUGUUUGUUUUUCCUUGCUGAGCCCAACCGUAAAUAUAAAGCAAAUAUAAAUGCUUAUGUACCAGUAAUGUCUUGUUUUCCCUCUCUCUUCCCAAAGUCACCCUGCUGUACUGUGAACCCCCAACAUAUUGUUAAUUAGGAAUGAAUCAGUGUGCCUCUGAUUAAAAUCCUUCCUACUUCAUGGCUUUUAACUAACUACAGUGUCUCUGGGUUUGUGCCAGCUUUGGUUUUAAACCUUUGAAGAAUCUCUAAUCCGCACAGCACAGACCAGCCAAUUAUUUUUUGUUAUAAACAGUAAAUAUCUAUCGAACAUAGAUAUUUUUGUUGCAGAUAAGGAUGCUCCUUGAGGAGCUCAGUAUCCUUCUCCAUAAUUUGCUGGGGUAGAAAAUACCUGAGAUGUACUUUAAUCAACUUUGUACUGUGUGGG
ensembl:lncRNA